UGCAGUCGAGCGGGGAAAGGUAGCUUGCUACUUGACCUAGCGGCGGACGGGUGAGUAAUGCUUAGGAAUCUGCCUAUUAGUGGGGGACAACAUCUCGAAAGGGAUGCUAAUACCGCAUACGUCCUACGGGAGAAAGCAGGGGACCUUCGGGCCUUGCGCUAAUAGAUGAGCCUAAGUCGGAUUAGCUAGUUGGUGGGGUAAAGGCCUACCAAGGCGACGAUCUGUAGCGGGUCUGAGAGGAUGAUCCGCCACACUGGGACUGAGACACGGCCCAGACUCCUACGGGAGGCAGCAGUGGGGAAUAUUGGACAAUGGGGGGAACCCUGAUCCAGCCAUGCCGCGUGUGUGAAGAAGGCCUUUUGGUUGUAAAGCACUUUAAGCGAGGAGGAGGCUACCGAGAUUAAUACUCUUGGAUAGUGGACGUUACUCGCAGAAUAAGCACCGGCUAACUCUGUGCCAGCAGCCGCGGUAAUACAGAGGGUGCAAGCGUUAAUCGGAUUUACUGGGCGUAAAGCGCGCGUAGGUGGCCAAUUAAGUCAAAUGUGAAAUCCCCGAGCUUAACUUGGGAAUUGCAUUCGAUACUGGUUGGCUAGAGUAUGGGAGAGGAUGGUAGAAUUCCAGGUGUAGCGGUGAAAUGCGUAGAGAUCUGGAGGAAUACCGAUGGCGAAGGCAGCCAUCUGGCCUAAUACUGACACUGAGGUGCGAAAGCAUGGGGAGCAAACAGGAUUAGAUACCCUGGUAGUCCAUGCCGUAAACGAUGUCUACUAGCCGUUGGGGCCUUUGAGGCUUUAGUGGCGCAGCUAACGCGAUAAGUAGACCGCCUGGGGAGUACGGUCGCAAGACUAAAACUCAAAUGAAUUGACGGGGGCCCGCACAAGCGGUGGAGCAUGUGGUUUCCUU
rnacentral:rRNA from 1 species